GAAAAGAUGAGGCAGAGUUCAAAUGUCGUCCCCCCACCCCAAAAAUGUUCUUUUCCCUACUCUGUCUUUCCUUCCUUCUCUACGAGAAGAUGGCCACUCCUUUUCUUCUCCCCUCCCCAGAGUUUUGGGAAGUACAGAUUCUAGAAAGGAUUUCCUUGCGAUGUCUUGCCAAAGUCUCAGGAGGACUGUUUUUAAGACACAAGGGGGCUGGCCCUGUGGCUUAGCAGUUAAGUGCGCGCGCUCCAAUGCUGGUGGCCCAGGUUCGGAUCCCGGGCGCGCACCGACACACCGCUUUUCUGGCCAUGCUGAGACCGCGUCCCACAUACUGCAACUAGAAGGAUGUGCAACUAUGAGGUUUCCUGUCGCUCUGCAAACACCAACUAAUGAAUUCCUCUGCCCGGGCCGGCCCCUCCAGAGGCGGUAUCUGCUAAGUAAACCAGAACUACAAUGGGCUUAAGGAGCGGAAUUGCUGGAUUCAAGUUGCCGGUUGUCUGCACUCCUACUCAGGGCUUCAUGAUCCACUGCCAGGACGAAAUGGAGUUGGGGCAAACAGGUCCGGCUGGAAUGAGGAGGACUUGGCAUUUUAGAGCAGCAGAUGCCGUGGACUGUGGUUUGGAAGACCUCAGCCUCAAACCAGCUCUUUGUCUUUGGGCAAAUCAGUCACUUGGGGUCCCAGCUUCCUCAUCUGGAGAAGAGGAGCCCUAAUGCUCUGGAUCGGGAACGCAGCAGCAGAGGUUUCCCAGCAGACAUACCCAGAAGAAUGUGGGUGGGCCAUUAUCGGACCUCCUCCCUGCCUGUGAGGUGGGGAAAGGGGGCCAGCAUCCCAGUCACUGAGCAAGAGAGAGGAAGAGACGCUGUGGUCACGGCGUCUGGACACAGGGCGGGAGGAGCAGGUGACUGGUCUGGAUCCGGAAAGUAGCUCUGCAUAGUAACAGCUCACAUUGACUGGCCGGUCCCCUGUCUUCGGCACUGUCCCUCCUUCCUCCACUUCUAGCGGGGCGGGGAUUCAGGCCCCGAGUCACCAGCUGAUUACACCUAAACUCGCCGGUGGGUGAGUGCUCUGUGAGAGAACGGGAGGUACAGGGAUGCAUUUAGCGCUCAUCGGGGGGCUUCGCUGAGGAGACCUCAGCCCUGGACGCUGGGUGGAGAGCAGCAGAGCAGAGGCUGUGAAAGGUUCCCUGGGCUCGCGGUCACCAUCCCUGUGGCCCCACAGUCACUGCUGCAUACGUUUUGUCUUCCUUGCUGCCUAGAGGUCAUUAGUGUCUCUUCAGGUUCCCUGUAAAUAGUAAGGGUCUGCUGACUGUUGAAUAAAUGAACAAACCGUCCUUCUGUGGCCUCAAGCUGGGAGAAAAGAGGCUGAGGCAACACUUGGCGGCCAUGCAGGAGGCGGCAUCUCCUGAGUGACCUCAUGCUGGGGUCAUUAUUUCCAGAGAGUUGGAUUUUCCUGCUGCCAAUUCCAAUGUAAGUCUCAAACUUCCAAGCCUCUUCCAUGAAACUUUUCCUUCUGUUUACAGGCAGGAAUGUUUUCCCUCUGUGUCCCUGCCUCUGGCAAGAUUUGAAACAUGGUCAGGGCAGAAAACUACAUGCUCAAAGCAGAACUGGGGAGAAAAAGAGAGAAGAAUGUGAGCAUUAUUAUUUGACAAAAUUUUCCCCUCCUGGCCAGUGGAGGGUCUGUGGUUCUGAUUACAAUAAUUUUUCCUGGAUCUCUGAGCUCUUAUUUUAUUCAAAUGACUUCUUUUUGUUUUUCUUUCCUUGCUCCGAAGGCAAGGCCUUGGGAGGGAGAUGGUUUGGCAGCUGUGAGAAGCACAGGAGCAGGAGGGAAGUAGAGACUCUGGACUUGAAUAUAAGGCAAAGGCCGAACGGUAGAGCUGUGUCCACUUCUUCACAAAUGCUGCGGAAUGCCCUCUGAUGUGGCUCCUGAGGAGCAGAAACACCACCGACCUUCACGUUGUUUCAAAAAAUAAAAAUCAAUGUAACCUGGAAAGUAAGCUUAGGACCUUUAGAUUCGAGUCCCAGCCCCACGCUAACCGCGGCAGCUGGGACAAGCUCCUCACCUAGGCGCCUCAGGAGCACGUGCAAACCAGCAAGACAAUCAAGUCAGAGGAGUUUGUCGUCACAAGUUACAGUGAGAGGUGCUGAGGCCCAGGUUAGGGGACUCUGAAAUCAGCUACUUCCAGGCUCUUCCAGUCCCAUCUCUCACUAUCCUUCUUCUCAGUUCCCCAGCCAAACGGAACAGCCCUGCAGCCACAUGCACAGUGAUUUCCCACUGGGCUCCUGGGGUUACCUGGUCUGGAAGGCUCUGCCCUCAGCCCUGAAGACUCACAUGCUUCCUUGCCAGGCCAUGGAGCUCCAGGAUGAACAGGGGGUGGACGUGAGUGGAGCAGGCCUGGGGUGGAACGCUGGCCCCACUCACUAAUGGGCAGAUGUGGAUUUGGGCGAGUUACCUAAUCUCACACUUCCUGUGUGUAAAAUAGGGCCAGUAUUACCUUCCUUGGAGGGUUCUUGUGAGGAAUAAAUUAGAUAGUCCACAUUUAGCAUAAUGCUAGCACAUAAUAGGUGCUCAAAUAAAUAUUUGCGUGAAUAACAGUACAGAAUGGUCCAGGGGUUCUGGGGAGCUGUGAAGUGUUAGAUAUGAUCAGAAAAGGAUCUGAGAUCACGAGCUCUGUGAACUUAGAAACGCUGUCCCCCUCCUUCCCCUAACAGGGCACCUGGCACAUAGUUGGCCCUUGAUCAAUGCUUGUCCUGUGGACGGCCAUGGAUGGCAAGCUAGAAAGUCUGGUGAUUAUUUUGUCCUUUCACUCAAACUGACCCCUAUUAAGUGCCGAUUAUGUGCCAGCUACUAUGGCAGCCUGUGGGGGAGGAAGCAGCCAGACCCUGCCUUCCAGAGGGCUAUAGAAAAGCCAGGUUUUAGGACCGAGUUGGUGGUGGGGAGGAGGAUUGGAUGAACUAGAGAAGAGGGAGGAUGUAGGGUGGGAGGUCAGCUGGAGCCAGGCAGGUGUGAGUGUGACCAGAGCUGCUGGUUUGAAGGACAGGCCAGGGGAGAACUCUCAGGCAAUGGAGGAACAGGGAAGAUCUCAAGAUAAAUUCAGGUUUUCAUAGUCAGAUUUCCAUCCCUGGACUUGGCCUUGGAGAGUGGAACCUCAUUUGCCACGGUGGGGACGGAUUGGCCUGGGGAGAAAGCCUCCUCUUUCCAGAAGGGCAGCUGUUUUGGCGUCAGAGACCUCUGCAGAUGGGACUCCAGAAUCCCGGGACCCUGUUGGGUCUGAAGAGUAGGGGUUUUCCCAGUCCCCCCGGGGAGCAGCACCUCUAACUAUGCCCCACCUUUAACCAGAAAUCUGCCAACUUCAGGGGAGACUGGGGCUCACCUGGGCCUUCAGACGUAGAGAACAACUUCCCAGAGUUACACAAAUGCCCCAGCCCGAGACCCGGGGCCUGGGGACUCGCUGAGAGGAUAGGGACUGGGCUGAGCUCGAAGUUUAACUGAACACAGAUAAGGCACCUUCCACUGCCAACCCAGGUGUUUCAACUUGUCUCCUCCAGGUGCAGUUAAUUGCUCCCACUUUAAUCCAUAUUAUUUCUCUCUUUCUCUUUCAGUGGUGUGAGAUUCUUAUUUAUCCACUCAUGUAACAGUUAUCCAUUGAGUGCCAGCAUGCUGGAAUACCCAGAAAACUUACUAUUCACAGUCAUCACAGCCUUUGACUCAGCAAUUCAACCCCCAAGAAUUUAUUCUAGACAUAUUCACCCGCAGGUGCCAACACUUAUAUAUAAAAGGACAAUCCCUGAACUAUUUUAAAUAACAAUUCAAAAUUAGGAAAAUACAAAUAUCCACCAAUAGGGCACUGAUAACAUAGAUUAUGAUAAAUUGAAACAAUGGAAUACUGUGUCCAAAAAAAGGGCUGAUCUUUAUGGAAUGAUAAGGAAAGAUGGCCAAGAAAGAUUAUUCGGUGAAAAA